rnacentral:rRNA from 1 species
CUACGGGGUGCUGCAGUCGAGAAUAGUCUACAAUGGGGGAAACCCUGAUAGUGCGACGCCGCGUGAACGAAGAAGCUUUUCGGAGUGUAAAGUUCUUUUCUGUAUGAGCAAUGCUUUAUUGUUUAAGAGAUAAUAGAGAGAGAUAUUAGUACGGGAAUAAGCCACGGCUAACUCCGUGCCAGCAGCCGCGGUAAUACGGGGGUGGCAAGCGUUGUCCGGAAUUACUAGGCGUAAAGGGCAGGUAGGCGGAUAUUCAAGUCAGGCGUUAAAGGCAUCAGCUCAACUGGUGUACGGCGUUUGAAACUGGAUAUCUAGAGUCAGGUAGAGGUAGAUGGAAUUCCUAGUGUAGCGGUGGAAUGCGCAGAGAUUAGGAAGAACACCAAAGGCGAAGGCAAUCUACUGGGCCAUGACUGACGCUAAACUGCGAAGGUGUGGGUAUCAAACAGGAUUAGAUACCCCCGUAGUC